rnacentral:snoRNA from 1 species
UGCACAAGGUCCAGUGAUGACAAAAUGUUUCAACAUUUACAGUGGCUAGCUACGGCGAUGAUGUCUACUAAUUAACCAUCUUUCGGGACUGACGGAUUUUGUGCA